rnacentral:rRNA from 1 species
ANGUACGGUCCUGCNGAAGAAGCGCCGGCUACUACGUGCCAGCAGCCGCGGUAAUACGUAGGGCGCAAGCGUUGUCCGGAAUUAUUGGGCGUAAAGAGCUCGUAGGCGGCUUGUCACGUCGGAUGUGAAAGCCCGGGGCUUAACCCCGGGUCUGCAUUCGAUACGGGCUAGCUAGAGUGUGGUAGGGGAGAUCGGAAUUCCUGGUGUAGCGGUGAAAUGCGCAGAUAUCAGGAGGAACACCGGUGGCGAAGGCGGAUCUCUGGGCCAUUACUGACGCUGAGGAGCGAAAGCGUGGGGAGCGAACAGGAUUAGAUACCCUGGUAGUCCAAGGGCGAAUUC